GAACGCACCUUGCGCCCUUUGGCUAUUCCGGAGGGCAUGCCUGUUUGAGUAUCAUGAACAUCUCAACUCCUCACGGUUUUCCCGUGACGAGCUUGGACUUUGGGGGUCUUGCUGGCCUGCAGGUCGGCUCCUCUCAAAUGAAUCAGCUUGCCGGUGUUUGGUGGCGUCACAGGUGUGAUAACUAUCUACGCUUGUGGUUUUCCGCCAGGUAACCUCCAGCGAUGGGGGUUCACUGGAGCUCACAAACGUCUCUCCUCGGUGAGGACAGCUCUUUGAACGUUUGAUCUCAAAUCAGGUAGGACUACCCGCUGAACUUA
rnacentral:misc_RNA from 1 species